UGGGGAAUCUUCCGCAAUGGACGAAAGUCUGACGGAGCAACGCCGCGUGAGUGAUGACGGCCUUCGGGUUGUAAAGCUCUGUUAAUCGGGACGAAAGGCCUUCUUGCGAAUAGUUAGAAGGAUUGACGGUACCGGAAUAGAAAGCCACGGCUAACUACGUGCCAGCAGCCGCGGUAAUACGUAGGUGGCAAGCGUUGUCCGGAAUUAUUGGGCGUAAAGCGCGCGCAGGCGGAUUGGUCAGUCUGUCUUAAAAGUUCGGGGCUUAACCCCGUGAUGGGAUGGAAACUGCCAAUCUAGAGUAUCGGAGAGGAAAGUGGAAUUCCUAGUGUAGCGGUGAAAUGCGUAGAUAUUAGGAAGAACACCAGUGGCGAAGGCGACUUUCUGGACGAAAACUGACGCUGAGGCGCGAAAGCCAGGGGAGCGAACGGG
rnacentral:rRNA from 1 species